AAAUAUAGAUAAUAAUAAAAAAUAUUAUAAAACUAAAAGAUGAUAAUACUACUUUUUUACAAAAUAAGCCUCUAUUUACUUUGUAGGACCAUAAAUAAGGAAAAAAAAUAUAGAUUGGAAAAAAAAUAAUGUAGUUAUAUGUAGAAAGAAGUUCAAAGUUAAUUUUAGCAAAAUUUACCUCAAAAAGUUAAGAAUUGAUAUCCGGAGAGAACUAGUUGUCAACCUAGGUCAAAAUCAGAUCAUAAGGCACAAAAUUUCACACCUACAGUGUCUUCAGGGUUCUUUGAUAGAUCAGCAGGAUAUGAGAGCAGACUUAAGAAGAGAUUUUUAGGCAGUAGGUUUAUAUCAAUUGAAUCAAAA
rnacentral:lncRNA from 1 species